rnacentral:rRNA from 1 species
GACGUAGGGUGCAAGCGUUGUUCGGAAUUACUGGGCGUAAAGCGCACGUAGGCGGCUUUGUAAGUUAGAGGUGAAAGCCCGGAGCUCAACUCCGGAAUUGCCUUUAAGACUGCAUCGCUUGAAUCAUGGAGAGGUGAGUGGAAUUCCGAGUGUAGAGGUGAAAUUCGUAGAUAUUCGGAAGAACACCAGUGGCGAAGGCGACUCACUGGACAUGUAUUGACGCUGAGGUGCGAAAGCGUGGGGAGCAAACAGG